rnacentral:rRNA from 1 species
AGGCCUCACUUGUGGGGUACUCGAGUGGCGAACGGGUGAGUAACACGUGGGUGAUCUGCCCUCAACUUUGGGAUAAGCCUGGGAAACUGGGUCUAAUACCGGAUAUGACCACGGGAUGCAUGUUUGGUGGUGGAAAGCUUUAUUGCGGUUGGGGAUGGGCCCGCGGCCUAUCAGCUUGUUGGUGGGGUAAUGGCCUACCAAGGCGACGACGGGUAGCCGACCUGAGAGGGUGAUCGGCCACACUGGGACUGAGACACGGCCCAGACUCCUACGGGAGGCAGCAGUGGGGAAUAUUGCACAAUGGGCGGAAGCCUGAUGCAGCGACGCCGCGUGAGGGAUGACGGCCUUCGGGUUGUAAACCUCUUUCACCAGGGACGAAGCGGGAGUGACGGUACCUGGAGAAGAAGCACCGGCCAACUACGUGCCAGCAGCCGCGGUAAUACGUAGGGUGCGAGCGUUGUCCGGAAUUACUGGGCGUAAAGAGCUCGUAGGCGGUUUGUCGCGUCGUCUGUGAAAUUCUGCAACUCAAUUGUAGGCGUGCAGGCGAUACGGGCAGACUUGAGUACUACAGGGGAGACUGGAAUUCCUGGUGUAGCGGUGAAAUGCGCAGAUAUCAGGAGGAACACCGGUGGCGAAGGCGGGUCUCUGGGUAGUAACUGACGCUGAGGAGCGAAAGCGUGGGUAGCGAACAGGAUUAGAUACCCUGGUAGUCCACGCCGUAAACGGUGGGUACUAGGUGUGGGACUCUUUUCACGGGUUCCGUGCCGUAGC